rnacentral:rRNA from 1 species
AUACGGAGGAUCCGAGCGUUAUCCGGAUUUAUUGGGUUUAAAGGGAGCGUAGGUGGAUUGUUAAGUCAGUUGUGAAAGUUUGCGGCUCAACCGUAAAAUUGCAGUUGAAACUGGCAGUCUUGAGUACAGUAGAGGUGGGCGGAAUUCGUGGUGUAGCGGUGAAAUGCUUAGAUAUCACGAAGAACUCCGAUUGCGAAGGCAGAUCACUAGACUGUUACUGACACUGAUGCUCGAAAGUGUGGGUAUCAAACAGGAUUAGAUACCCUGGUAGUCCACACAGUAAACGAUGAAUACUCGCUGUUUGCGAUAUACAGUAAGCGGCCAAGCGAAAGCAUUAAGUAUUCCACCUGGGGAGUACGCCGGCAACGGUGAAACUCAAAGGAAUUGACGGGG